GACGGAGGAUGCAAGCGUUGUCCGGAAUCACUGGGCGUAAAGGGCGCGUAGGCGGCCUGAUAAGUCGGGGUGAAAUUCUGCGGCUUAACCGCAGGACGGCCUUCGAGACUGUCGGGCUUGAGCACGGUAGAGGCUGGUGGAAUUCCCGGUGUAGCGGUGGAAUGCGUAGAGAUCGGGAAGAACAUCGGUGGCGAAGGCGGCCAGCUGGGCCGUUGCUGACGCUGAGGCGCGACAGCGUGGGGAG
rnacentral:rRNA from 1 species